rnacentral:rRNA from 1 species
CCUACGGGGGGCAGCAGUAGGGAAUUUUCGUCAAUGGGCGCAAGCCUGAACGAGCAAUGCCGCGUGAGUGAAGAAGGCCUUCGGAUCGUAAAACUCUGUUGUGAGGGAAGAAAGACAGUAUCAGGAACUGGGCACUGUCUGACGGUGUCUCACCAGAAAGUCACGGCUAACUACGUGCCAGCAGCCGCGGUAAUACGUAGGUGGCAAGCGUUAUCCGGAUUGAUUGGGCGUAAAGGGAGCGCAGGCGGUCCUGAAAGUCUGAUGUGAAAGACAUGAGCUUAAGGGAUGUAGUGCGUUGGAAACUGGAGGACUUGAGAGCAGAAGAGGGGGGUGGAACUCCAUGUGUAGCGGUAAAAUGCGUAGAUAUAUGGAAGAACACCAGUGGCGAAGGCGGCUGUCUGGUCUGUGACUGACGCUGAGGUACGAAAGCGUGGGUAGCAAACAGGAUUAGAUACCCUUGUAGUC